GAUGAACGCUGGCGGCGUGCCUAAUACAUACAAGUCGAGCGAAUGGAUUGAGAGCUUGCUCUUAUGAAGUUAGCGGUGGACGGGUGAGUAACACGUGGGUAACCUGCCCAUAAGACUGGGAUAACUCCGGGAAACCGGGGCUAAUACCGGAUAACAUUUUGAACCGCAUGGUUCGAAAUUGAAAGGCGGCUUCGGCCGUCACUUAUGGAUGGACCCGCGUCGCAUUAGCUAGUUGGUGAGGUAACGGCUCACCAAGGCAACGAUGCGUAGCCGACCUGAGAGGGUGCGCGGCCACACUGGGACUGAGACACGGCCCAGACUCCUACGGGAGGCAGCAGUAGGGAAUCUUCCGCAAUGGACGAAAGUCUGACGGAGCAACGCCGCGUGAGUGAUGAAGGCUUUCGGGUCGUAAAACUCUGUUGUUAGGGAAGAACAAGUGCUAGUUGAAUAAGCUGGCACCUUGACGGUACCUAACCAGAAAGCCACGGCUAACUACGUGCCAGCCGCCGCCGUAA
rnacentral:rRNA from 1 species